AUGAAUAUGACAGCAAACAAUGCUUUAAAACUUGUGUCUUGGGGUCUGGGCUAUAACAGCCCACUUAGAGAAUCCUCAGCACAACUUGCUGACUGUCAUCUGGACUACCUCACGCAUAGGCCUGCUCAGUGUUUCCCAACUUCUCCAGAUGAUUGCCUCUCUCAAGACUUCCUGGGAGUCUGGACCAGCAAGGGAGAGCACUUCCAGACCAUUAUUAGCAGGAGCACAUCCGGUCUCCUGGCCAGAGGAAGUCACCAUGCCAGGAGAAGAGAAGGGUUGACCUUCUGGGCCUUAAUCUGUAAGAGUUACUUGGCCACCAAGCGGUGCAGUCAGGGAGGAGGGAGUGGUAGGGCUCCCGUCAGGAAAGCUCAGGGCCUUGUGUGCUCGGAAACUUCGAGAUCUCCCCUCCUUAGUCCCUUUGGCCAGGAUGGGUGAAGCCAGCUUUGGCAGUAAAGGUGUCAGGGCACUGCUGGGAAGGUAGAGAUUCAGGGAAUUCCCCAUGGACAUUCACUUGUCUAGGAAGCCUUUCCUCCUGAGGCCUUCCUGCAAGGAUGCUGGCAAUAAGACAAGGAUUCAUGUGUAAUUUCCCAACUGGAGAAGUAGAAGGAAAAAUACUUAACUAUUUAUUUAACUCUGUCCAAUUAUACAUUCAUCCCUUCAUUAAUUUAGCACUUUUUGAAUGCUUAUUUUGUGAUUACCUGGGUUAGGUUCUGUGAGUACUGCUGAGAAAUAUAAGACAAGGUCUGGCCUCCAGGACCUUGAAAUCUAGAUAUAGAGUCAAAAUUAGUACAAAUGAAACAAUUGAUGGAUUACAAUACAGUCAAGUGGAAUAUAAUAUGAUCAGUGCUACGUUGUGUGGUAAUACAGUAAGUGCUAAAGUGGAGUUUAGUAAAUGUUUCCUGAGAAAAUGCUUUGCCAGGCUUCGCUAAGUUCUAAAAGGUAUAGAGAUAGCUGAGACAUGGUUCCUAGACUGAGAACCCUCAGUUCUAGUUGAGGGGACACAUGUUAGUAGACAAUUUUGAUAUGCAGAGGGUGCUGUGGAAAUACAGAGGAGAGCCACUGAGCCCAAUCCAGGUGAUACAACGCCUAAAUAAGUGAGGGCAGGCACCCAAAGGAAGGUUGGAAGAAUGCUAUAGGCACAGAGAAUGGCAUAGGAAACUCUGGUGGUCUGGUAUGAUUGAAAACUACAGCUAGGAAGUUCUCAGAAUUAGGGAAAGGCAGAAAAUGAAGAUAGACAGGCUAAAAGAGGUCAGAUCAUGCAGAGCCUUAUGAAGGAAAUUAAGAAAAUCAGCCUUGUCUUGGUAGAGGCCACUAAAGGGUUCUUAACAGCUAACUCUCACGGCUGGGAGGAAGAUGUACUUGAGAGGAACACAGCUGCAGGCUGGGAACCCAGUUAGGAAGCAAUAACAGUAGUCCAUGUGAAAAGUGAUGGGGG
rnacentral:lncRNA from 1 species